GCGCCCACCAAGCCUUUUGGAAAGGGAGGGAGAAGAACGCUUGUGGUGUUGAGCUGACAGAGAACAAUGCAACACUGUGCUCCAUUUCAGCAACAAGGUUACAGCUCCAUAUUGCCAGGAGGUUGAGGAGAGCAGCAGUGACCAGGAAAGAUUUGCUGCUGCCCAACACUCAGCAGCCCUAUCUCAGCAAAACCUGAAGCAAAGGCAAAUUGCUCUGAAUUCUCCCACUUGCAUAAGGCCAGUAACGAAUUUUUUGCCCAUGGAUGUUGUGUGUGGUGGAGCCAGGGACUCCACUGGUGCUUCCCAGCUGCACAGUGCCUUUUCCCUCAUCAAGGGGAGAAGGGUGGCCAGCCUGAUACUGCUGACUGUGCAGCUCCAAGCAUCUUCCAUCUCUCUUUAGCAAUGGCGUGCUGCCACUUGACUGAAGACCCAAACACCAAAUAAACUGUUAUAGGGUAAAGAGGGACAAGAAAUAACUCCUCAAUACCUUGAGGAAAGAUGUUAACGUCAAAUAAAAUUAACCCACCAGCAAAAACCAGCUUGUCUUCUGUUAUGGAUGGACUGCAAAGAAAUAAGGAGACAUUUGUACAGAGGCAUUUCUGUGACAAUCUCCUCCACUCAUCCAGAAGUCUUUUGCCAGCCAUUUUCACACUCAAGGAUAGCAUUAAUCUUGUGGUGGAAAACCUUAUAAAAAUGAAAGCUGUUGUCACUGUUAGCAAUCAAGAAGCCCUCCUUAGCUUUCAUGCAACCCUGAAACUUCCCCCUGAAAAGAUGCUUCCCAGAAAGCAGGAAACCUGUCACUGAGCUCCUAAGGAUUCCUGGGUUUCAGCAAUUUUCAAAAGUUUCUCUGCAAAAAUUUCCAAUUUUGGUCCCUUCCAUCUGCCAGGCAGUAUUCCUGUUUUCCUUCUUUGCUGUAGCGGCAGGAACCAACCUGGUUGUCAUCAGUUUGCAUGAGCAAGACUGUGCAGAGGUAAUCAAUCAGACAAACGAACCUGCCAAGGAAUCGAAAAAGAGCAUCAAGAAAAUUUGAGCAUUCAGUUCUCUCUGAUCUCAUCUUUCAGCUCACUGAUUGCUGGAACUCCACUGAGUUCCUCCUGCUACAGGAACUAAGAUGUCUGGGCACCUUACAACACUGGGCUCACCACUCAUAGGUUACCUGUGAUCAAACUGUAAGGGAAACCAGCACUGAGGCAUUUUUGAGGGGAAAAAAAUUACAAUUUCCUUUUUUGUUUUGUUUUGUUACUGGAAUUGUAUAGCAAACUAAUCCAUUCCCUAUCGAUUGGAUUUUCACAAUUUUAGCAUCCAAAGUUCUUUUUCUUUAACAUUAAAUCCUUAAUACUAGGUAUUUGGAAGUGUUUAAGCCCUGAAGGAAAGGAAAAGCUUCAGGUGCUUUUGAAAAUAUAAGCAGAUCUCUGUAUUUUUCACUUGUUAACCAGUAGACUUUUUUGUUGGGAAAGGCACAGGGGUCAGUCUCUUUGCCCCAAAGGUCAGGAGAUAAAGAAAACAGUGGGCCUUGCUUGUCUUGUUCAUCAUUUGGGGAGAGUUUAUGCUUCUUUAGACAGGUGUUGGGCCAUGAUUAGGUGUAUUGCAGUUAAAAAAGAGAAAGAGACACAUACAGAUGCACACAGAGAUCAGUCCAUGGG